rnacentral:rRNA from 1 species
CAGUCGCCACGGUAAUACGUAGGGUGCAAGCGUUAAUCGGAAUUACUGGGCGUAAAGCGUGCGCAGGCGGUUUUGUAAGACAGAGGUGAAAUCCCCGGGCUCAACCUGGGAACUGCCUUUGUGACUGCAAGGCUGGAGCGCGGCAGAGGGGGAUGGAAUUCCGCGUGUAGCAGUGAAAUGCGUAGAUAUGCGGAGGAACACCGAUGGCGAAGGCAAUCCCCUGGGCCUGCACUGACGCUCAUGCACGAAAGCGUGGGGAGCAAACAGGAUUAGAGACCCCCGUAGUCCCUGUCUCUUAUAC